rnacentral:rRNA from 1 species
CACGGGGGGAACGCAAGAACCUUACCUGGUCUUGACAUCCAUGGAAUCCCGCAGAGAUGUGGGAGUGCCGUAAGGAACCAUGAGACAGGUGCUGCAUGGCUGUCGUCAGCUCGUGUCGCGAGAUGUUGGGUUAAGUCCCGCAACGAGCGCAACCCUUGUCCUUAGUUGCCAUCAUUAAGUUGGGAACUCUAAGGAGACCGCCGGUGACAAACCGGAGGAAGGUGGGGAUGACGUCAAGUCAUCAUGGCCUUUAUGACCAGGGCUACACACGUGCUACAAUGGCAGAUACAGAGGGAAGCCAACUCGCGAGAGGGAGCUAAUCCCAGAAAAUCUGUCGUAGUCCGGAUUGGAGUCUGCAACUCGACUCCAUGAAGUCGGAAUCGCUAGUAAUCGCAGAUCAGCAUUGCUGCGGUGAAUACGUUCCCGGGUCUUGUACACACGC